CAGCCGCCGCGGUAAUACCGGCGGCCCGAGUGGCGGCCACUAUUAUUGGGCCUAAAGCGUCCGUAGCCGGGCUGGUAAGUCCUCCGGGAAAUCUGGUCGCUUAACGAUCAGACUUCCGGAGGAUACUGCUGGCCUAGGGACCGGGAGAGGCCGAGGGUAUUCCCGGGGUAGGGGUGAAAUCCUAUAAUCCCGGGAGGACCACCUGUGGCGAAGGCGCUCGGCUGGAACGCGUCCGACGGUGAGGGACGAAGGCCAGGGGAGCAAACCGGAUUAGAUACCCGGGUAGUCCUGGCUGUAAACGAUGCGGACUUUGUGUCGGACAAGCUAUGAGCUUGUCCGGUGCCGGAGGGAAACCGUUAAGUCCGCCGCCUGGGGAGUACGGCCGCAAGGCUGAAACUUAAAGGAAUUGGCGGG
rnacentral:rRNA from 1 species